CUGAGGGGAGCUGGGAAUCCAAUAAAGAAAAACGAGGAGGUGGCCGUCAGUGUGGUGGUGAAGAAUCCAGGAGGCAUCUAUGAAACAGACCUCGGGGGAGCCCAGCUCCAACUGCCACAGCGAGAACAACCAUCACAGGGAGUGCGGGUCUGCUGUGUGCCAAAGCUCAACUGCUGCUGGGGCCUGGCCAUCUCCCAGGAAGGCAGCAUGGACCCUCACCACGGGUAAGGUGCCCACUCUUCACACUGAAGAGUGUUCUUUUAAAAUUUACUUUA
rnacentral:lncRNA from 1 species